GAUUAGACGCUGCCUGGUGCUGUGCCAGGGGCUCUGUCUGGGAUUGCCCAGCUGGCUCCUGGGACCAUUGCCAUGCCCAGUGCACAGAGCUGUGGUGGGGCGGUCCCUGGCGCAGAGUGAGGGGUCCUCCUGUAAAGCGUCAGGGGGUCGUGCUGGGAGGAGGAGGGGGUCCCAGGCAAAUGGGCUGGCAGAUCCUGGUGGAGGGCAGGUGGGGGUCCUAGGCAGGCAAUGGGGAAAUCCCAGGCAGGCAGUGAGGGACUAUAAAAUGACUCUACACAAACAGCCCCCCACCCCAUUUCUCCUGCCCUUUGCAAGAGCAAAUCCAGCCAUGGGGGAGCAAACAACCCAGGAAUGAGAGUUUCCUAGCAGACAGGCAUGGAGAGGGCACAGGGAAAAGGAGAUAGAGAGACUGACAGGGUCCGUGGGAUAAAAGAGUUUUGAAAGAGAUUUCCAGCUCUUUAAUCUGCCCAGACAGAUGUAUUACUGCACUGUGGGGAGAAUCACUUUCCUGUGGACAAGACGAGGAUGAGAGAGAGGAAAACCCAGUUCCUGACUCCAUGUCCCUCCUGCUGGGGUGUGGCUGCCGUGGGGGAAAGAGCCUGGGGGAAGCGUGAUGUGAAAUGAACUAAUGCCCGUUCCCAAACCUCCACAAUGGCCCUUCUCGCCCGGCCAGGCUGCAGAACGACGCUCACGUUUCGUUCCGGUUCAUCCCGUCCUCCCAUGGGACAGGGGAGCGACAUGGCUGCAGAGGAGCCAGCUCAGGGGCCGGUGACCUUCGAGGAGGUGGCUGUGUAUUUCACCAGGGAAGAGGGGGCUCUGCUGUACCCCGCUCAGAGAGCCCUCUCCAGAGACAUCAUGCAGGAGACCUAUGAGAAUGUGACCUCGCUGGGUAAGGGUUCCUGUCCCCUCGGUUCUUGGAAGGGGAACGGGAGAGAUGAGGUUCACGCCACCCCCACAAUGCCACCUCUGCUCUGUCCUGUUCCAGCAUCACCC